ensembl:misc_RNA 7SK 7SK RNA
AGAGGAGAGGCAAUCUGGCUGCAAUAUCUGUCAGGGUUGAUCACCAGGGUUGAUUUGGCUAGUCUGGCUGACUAGGUGGGUGUCCCUUUCCUCCAUCACCACUCCAUUUGUGCUCCUCCUUGAAGCUAAACAUUCAAUGGAACAUUCCUGAUAAGGUCGGACGAUUUCCUCAGUCAAAGGUAUAUGAGUAGCUGCACUUCCCUGCUAGAGCCUCCAAACAAGCUCUCAAAAUGAUAACAGAGGAGAUUUAAAAACAGAUCAAUGAGUUCCUUGGUGUGGGCACAGCAA